AGGCAUCUUGAAUUUAGGGCCCUUUAGUUUCGCAUCUGGACCUUCGAUAUUCACAUCAGGAACAUCAAUGUCCACCUUGGGUCCUGAGACGUCAAGGUCAGCCUUGGGCAGGUUCACAUCCACAUCUGGGCCCUCUCCUUUGAAGCCAGGCAUGCUGAACUUGGGCAUUUUCACCUUGGGCAUCUUCAGGUGCCAGUCUGGGCCUUGAACAUCCACAUCUGGGGCAUCUUAAACUUGGGGCCCUUCAGCUUUCCUUCCGGGCCCUCAAGGCUCACAUCUGGG
rnacentral:lncRNA from 1 species